rnacentral:rRNA from 1 species
ACAGUCGAGCGGCAGCACAGAGGAACUUGUUCCUUGGGUGGCGAGCGGCGGACGGGUGAGUAAUGCCUAGGAAAUUGCCCUGAUGUGGGGGAUAACCAUUGGAAACGAUGGCUAAUACCGCAUGAUGCCUACGGGCCAAAGAGGGGGACCUUCGGGCCUCUCGCGUCAGGAUAUGCCUAGGUGGGAUUAGCUAGUUGGUGAGGUAAUGGCUCACCAAGGCGACGAUCCCUAGCUGGUCUGAGAGGAUGAUCAGCCACACUGGAACUGAGACACGGUCCAGACUCCUACGGGAGGCAGCAGUGGGGAAUAUUGCACAAUGGGCGCAAGCCUGAUGCAGCCAUGCCGCGUGUAUGAAGAAGGCCUUCGGGUUGUAAAGUACUUUCAGUCGUGAGGAAGGUGGUGUUGUUAAUAGCAGCAUCAUUUGACGUUAGCGACAGAAGAAGCACCGGCUAACUCCGUGCCAGCAGCCGCGGUAAUACGGAGGGUGCGAGCGUUAAUCGGAAUUACUGGGCGUAAAGCGCAUGCAGGUGGUGGAUUAAGUCAG